GUGCCUAAUGCAUGCAAGUCGAGCGACGCAUAUGGGGCUUGCCCCGUAUGACGGAGCGGCGAACGGGUGAGUAACACGUGAGCAACCUGCCCCGAAGACCGGGAUAGCCCGAGGAAACUCGGAUUAAUACCGGAUACCUUCACACCUUCGCAUGAGGGAGUGAAGAAAAGCCUUUGUGCUUCGGGAUGGGCUCGCGGCCUAUCAGCUAGGUGGUGAGGUAACAGCUCACCAAGGCAUCGACGGGUAGCUGGUCUGAGAGGACGAUCAGCCACACUGGAACUGAGACACGGUCCAGACUCCUACGGGAGGCAGCAGCAGGGAAUAUUGCACAAUGGGCGAAAGCCUGAUGCAGCAACGCCGCGUGAGGGAUGAAGGCCUUCGGGUUGUAAACCUCUUUCAGGAGGGAAGAAAUUGACGGUACCUCCAAAAGAAGCCCCGGCUAACUACGUGCCAGCAGCCGCGGUAAUACGUAGGGGGCGAGCGUUGUCCGGAUUUAUUGGGCGUAAAGGGCUCGUAGGCGGUUCAGUAAGUCGGCUGUGA
rnacentral:rRNA from 1 species